rnacentral:rRNA from 1 species
UACGAAGGUCCCAAGCGUUAUCCGGAUUUAUUGGGUUUAAAGGGUGCGUAGGCGGUCUAUUAAGUCAGUGGUGAAAGCCCCAAGCUCAACUUGGGAACUGCCAUUGAUACUGAUGGACUUGAGUACAUUUGAGGUGGGCGGAAUGUGUCAUGUAGCGGUGAAAUGCUUAGAUAUGACAUAGAACACCAAUUGCGAAGGCAGCUUACUACACAGUUAUUGACGCUGAGGCACGAAAGCGUGGGGAUCAAACAGG